AUGGAGGUGGUAUGUUGGAAUGUGUGGGGGCUAAAUAGCCCGGCCAAGAAAAAGGCCCUUAGGAAGUUCAUGGACACGGUGCGCGUCGCAAUUGUGUGUAUCUUGGAGUCUAAACUCGAAAGAGUCGACCAAUUUGUGAUCAUGCAAUGUUUAGGGCCUUCUUACAAUGGUUUUUUCUACCUUCCGGCGUCGGAUACGAGAGGGGGCAUCAUC
rnacentral:rRNA from 1 species